GAUGAACGCUGGCGGCGUGCCUAAUACAUGCAAGUCGAGCGAACAGACGAGGAGCUUGCUCCUCUGACGUUAGCGGCGGACGGGUGAGUAACACGUGGAUAACCUACCUAUAAGACUGGGAUAACUUCGGGAAACCGGAGCUAAUACCGGAUAAUAUAUUGAACCGCAUGGUUCAAUAGUGAAAGACGGUUUUGCUGUCACUUAUAGAUGGAUCCGCGCGGCAUUAGCUAGUUGGUAAGGUAACGGCUUACCAAGGCGACGAUGCAUAGCCGACCUGAGAGGGUGGUCGGCCACACUGGAACUGAGACACGGUCCAGACUCCUACGGGAGGCAGCAGUAGGGAAUCUUCCGCAAUGGGCGAAAGCCUGACGGAGCAACGCCGCGUGAGUGAUGAAGGUCUUCGGAUCGUAAAACUCUGUUAUUAGGGAAGAACAUAUGUGUAAGUAACUAUGCACGUCUUGACGGUACCUAAUCAGAAAGCCACGGCUAACUACGUG
rnacentral:rRNA from 1 species